AACGAACGCUGGCGGCAGGCUUAACACAUGCAAGUCGAACGGUUGUAGCAAUACAGCAGUGGCAGACGGGUGAGUAACACGUGGGAACCUUCCUAGGGGGUACGGAACAACUCAGGGAAACUUGAGCUAAUACCGUAUACGUCCGUGAGGAGAAAGAUUUAUCGCCCUUAGACGGGCCCGCGUCGGAUUAGCUAGUUGGUGGGUAACGGCCUACCAAGGCGACGAUCCGUAGCUGAUCUUAGAGGAUGAUCAGCCACACUGGGACUGAGACACGGCCCAGACUCCUACGGGAGGCAGCAGUGGGGAAUCUUGGACAAUGGGCGCAAGCCUGAUCCAGCCAUGCCGCGUGAGUGAAGAAGGUCUUCGGAUUGUAAAGCUCUUUGCCAGGGACGAUAAUGACGGUACCUGGAGAAUAAGCCCCGGCAAACUUCGUGCCAGCAG
rnacentral:rRNA from 1 species